rnacentral:rRNA from 1 species
GACGAACGCUGGCGGCGUGCCUAAUACAUGCAAGUAGAACGCACAGGAUGCACCGUAGUUUACUACACCGUAUUCUGUGAGUUGCGAACGGGUGAGUAACGCGUAGGUAACCUGCCUGGUAGCGGGGGAUAACUAUUGGAAACGAUAGCUAAUACCGCAUAAGAACAUUUACUGCAUGGUAGAUGUUUAAAAGGUGCAAGAGCAUCACUACCAGAUGGACCUGCGUUGUAUUAGCUAGUUGGUGAGGUAACGGCUCACCAAGGCAACGAUACAUAGCCGACCUGAGAGGGUGAUCGGCCACACUGGGACUGAGACACGGCCCAGACUCCUACGGGAGGCAGCAGUAGGGAAUCUUCGGCAAUGGGGGGAACCCUGACCGAGCAACGCCGCGUGAGUGAAGAAGGUUUUCGGAUCGUAAAGCCCUGUUGUAAGAGAAGAACGAGCGUGAGAGUGGAAAGUUCACACUGACGG